ensembl:snRNA U6 U6 spliceosomal RNA
GUGCUUGUUUUGGCUGCACAUAUAUUAAAAUUGGAACAAUACAGAGAAAAUUAGCAUGGCCACUGGGUAAGAUGAUAUGCAGAUUUGCGAGGCGUUCCAUAUUAAA